rnacentral:rRNA from 1 species
CAAUAGCGUAUAUUUAAGUUGUUGCAAGUUAAAAAGCUCGUAGUUGGUAUUUUGGGUGCGGCAGGCCGGUCCGCUGUUUCAGUGUGCACUGGCAGGCUGCAUCUUUCUGUCGAGGACGCGCUCCUGGCCUUCAUUGAUCGGGACGUGGAGUCGGCGAAGUUACUUUAGAAAAAUUAGAGUGUUCAAAGCGGGCCUACGCUUGAAUAUAUUAGCAUGGAAUAACACUAUAGGACUCCUCGUCCUAUUUUGUUGGUCUUCGGGAGUGGGAGUAAUGAUUAAGAGGAACAGUUGGGGGCGAUUCGUAUUUCAUUGUCAGAGGUGAAAUUCUUGG